AUGGGAAGGCUUUGGGGAUUGUUCACAAUGAUGGGGAUGGAAAGAAUGAAAAAACAUACAUUUUUAAUAAACAGCUUAAGCGGUUGUAACCAUUUGAAUACAAGUUUGGUGAGUUUCGCCUGUUUGACUUAUCCCACUUUUAUAACAUGAAAAAUAAAAUGCAUCAUAUAGACCCAAUUGUAAGGAGUGAGCAUUUUCAUAGGAAUUGAAAUUGCCACUUCUUAAGUUAUAUGAUGGGUAUUUGGUUUUCAUUGGAAGGAGUGAGCAUUUUCAAAUAUUAUUUAGAUUUUCUGAAAAUUUGAUAUUUUAGCAUGAUUUGUGUAGUGGGAGUUAUUUUGUUUAGAAAAAUUGUUCUAAGUUAAUGGAGGAAAGAGUUACGUAUAUCACGGAUGAAGGCAUCUGGUCUCUUAACAUCAAAGGUACAACUUUUCUCAAUAUUCCAGUGUUUUGUCUAUUAUAUCUUAAUCCUUUUGUUAAUCGGUUAGGCUCAUUUUGGUUUUGAUUUCUGUUUCCGUUUUUAUGUUCGAUCGUUUUUGGUUGCUUGCUGACGGGGAUUUUGAACAGGUUGAUUAGUAUCUGAUUCUUGUUAUCGUUCUUCGUGUGGUGUUUGUUACACAUCUGGAAACUGGGACAUAAUGGCCUAGCCACUGCCUCCAGCAAUGAAGGCUAGGGUUCCGACGAGUUGAUCUAGAGCCAGUUCAGUUGACAAGUUAAAGAAUAACUGCUGUCGCUACCACCUCCAUCGUUACAGGAAUGAACGAGGCUUAGCCUUUUAUGUGGUUUGUCACUGCCUCACCCAAGGUGCGCCUCAAAUCGCCUUUUAAAACCAUGAAUGCAGGUACGUAUAUAUUUCGAAAACAGCAUGAUUUAUUAUGUUACAUGUCUUUAUCGGUGGUCGUCCUCUUAUAUUCUGGUUAGAAACAUUAGAACUGUGAAUUGAAUUGUGGAGAUUAAAAUCGAAUCCAAACCAAUUAUUCAUCACAACACGAGUAGUAAAUUCAAUCCCAUUAAAAAACAAGCGUGGGGGUCUAGAGGAAUAUUCAGUACACGAGGUCAGACAAGUACUUUCAAGGCACUUGGAUACAACACAAUAGCAAACCGACACGAGUGGAAUAAAAUCGCACCACCAAAAGUAAACCUCUUUGUGUAGAAAGCGAUAAAAGGUAAAAUUCAAACGAAAUCGGCCCUGGUCAGUAGGGGAAUAACGUUACAAAGUAACGCAUGUGCUUUGUUUGGGUCUGUAAAGGAGACGUCUGACACAUACUGGUUCGAUUCAGUGUUUUAGAUAUCAUAUGGCACUAAAUAUUCUCGUGGGUGAAAAGCUGUGGUUGAAACCAGGUACCAAAACUGUGGAGGAAGUUGUGUAGAGUGUUAAUGGGCUCAGUAUAUUGGGUACCCGAAAAAUAAUUUGAGGAAUGCAAAAAUCUUUGGAGGCAAGAGUGGAUCUGUUUACAACCUGGUAGAGGAGAUAAAGGAGAUGGCGUUUGAUAAGAUCAAACAUAGAUCAAAAUGAUUUGGCAUAAACUGGAACAAAUGGCGAAGCUUUAGACUAGAGGAGUAUGACAUUUCAAUAUUGUAGUUCUGUUUGUGUUUCCUUCACUUUCCUCUUUAUUUGUAAUUGUAAUUGUAAUGCCCAAGAUAGCAGCUUCCUAUAUUGGUUGUUUCCAUUUUAAUAAAAAGCUUCCGUUGCCAUUUGAAAAAAA